rnacentral:rRNA from 1 species
GACGAACGCUGGCGGCGUGCUUAACACAUGCAAGUCGAACGGAAAGGCCCUGCUUUUGUGGGGUGCUCGAGUGGCGAACGGGUGAGUAACACGUGAGUAACCUGCCCUUGACUUUGGGAUAACUUCAGGAAACUGGGGCUAAUACCGGAUAGGAGCUCCUGCUGCAUGGGGGGGGUUGGAAAGUUUCGGCGGUUGGGGAGGGGCUCGCGGCUUAUCAGCUUGUUGGUGGGGUAGUGGCUUACACAGGCUUUGAGGGGUAGCCCGCCUGAGAGGGGGACCGGCCACUGGGGCUCCGAGAGGCGGCAGAGUCGCAUCGGGGGCAACGGGGGGGAGAAUAGCGCAGAAGGGGCGCGCGAGUGAUGAAGCAGCCCCGUGCGGGAGAUGAGGGUUUUGGGGUUGAACACCUUUGUCCGUUGCUGCGAAGCGUGUGACGGUGAAUUGUGAAAAAGCGCCGGCUAACUACGUG